rnacentral:rRNA from 1 species
GGACAAUGGGCGCAUUCCUGAUCCAGCCAUGCCGCGUGAGUGAUGAAGGCCUUAGGGUUGUAAAGCUCUUUCACCGGAGAAGAUAAUGACGGUAUCCGGAGAAGAAGCCCCGGCUAACUUCGUGCCAGCAGCCGCGGUAAUACGAAGGGGGCUAGCGUUGUUCGGAAUUACUGGGCGUAAAGCGCACGUAGGCGGAUAUUUAAGUCAGGGGUGAAAUCCCAGAGCUCAACUCUGGAACUGCCUUUGAUACUGGGUAUCUUGAGUAUGGAAGAGGUAAGUGGAAUUCCGAGUGUAGAGGUGAAAUUCGUAGAUAUUCGGAGGAACACCAGUGGCGAAGGCGGCUUACUGGUCCAUUACUGACGCUGAGGUGCGAAAGCGUGGGGGAGCAAACAGGAUUANAUACCCUGGUAGUCCNCCCCGUAAACNAUGAAUGUUANCCGUCGGGCANUANACUGUNCGGNGGCCCANCUANCNCAUUAAACNUUCCCCNGGGGANUACGGCCCCCAAAUUAAACC